rnacentral:ncRNA from 2 species
CCCUAGCCCUGAUGGAAGCGGCAUCCUUUUAUCGCGCCGCGGCGGAUAAAAGAUACAGCGGACAGCAGGAACAGCU